GAUGAACGCUGGCGGCGUGCCUAAUACAUGCAAGUCGAGCGAACAGAUGAGGAGCUUACUCCUCUGACGUUAGCGGCGGACGGGUGAGUAACACGUGGAUAACCUACCUAUAAGACUGGGAUAACUUCGGGAAACCGGAGCUAAUACCGGAUAAUAUAUUGAACCGCAUGGUUCAAUAGUGAAAGACGGUUUUGCUGUCUCUUAUAGAUGGAUCCGCGCCGCAUUAGCUAGUUGGUAAGGUAACGGCUUACCAAGGCAACGAUGCGUAGCCGACCUGAGAGGGUGAUCGGCCACACUGGAACUGAGACACGGUCCAGACUCCUACGGGAGGCAGCAGUAGGGAAUCUUCCGCAAUGGGCGAAAGCCUGACGGAGCAACGCCGCGUGAGUGAUGAAGGUCUUCGGAUCGUAAAACUCUGUUAUUAGGGAAGAACAAAUGUGUAAGUAACUAUGCACGUCUUGACGGUACCUAAUCAGAAAGCCACGGCUAACUACGUG
rnacentral:rRNA from 1 species